CUGAAUUUGUCACUCCAGGGACAAUUUUGGUUGGGUUGUAGGAGCCAGCCAAAGAAUGUAGGAGCCAUUUUUGUUCCAACACGCAUACCAACAUACUUAACACACACAUUAACACAAACAGACAUACUAACACAUAGUAACACAGUAAGACACACACACUUUUUGUAACCUCUACGUUAGUUGGCUCAGGACAGCUUAAUGGUGGUCCUCACACGCCUAUUGUGUUUGAGUGGUGGGAAAUUACAUCAUAUCCCCGCGCUCAGACUCAGGGAGCUAGGACUAAUGGAGCGUGGCCCACCAGCCCAGUGGUGUAUCAGACUCAGGGGUGGGGUGAGAGGGCUGGCGGUGCUGCCCCGGGGGCCCCCACUUGAUAGGAAUUACAAGGCGCACCUUAGCUUUGUACUUUUAUAGUGUUAACCCACUGCUCCUUUGGAAAACGCUAUGCACCAGGAAGUAAUUUCCUGUUGCCAUGGAGACCUGGCACAAAGGCUUUGUUGAGCCCUCAAAAAGAAAAAAACACUGCUUUUGAGUAACAGAGUUCAUUAAGAACUGAUUAACUAGUGCUAAUAAAGCAAUACAGAUAGCAAAAAGAAAGACUUAUCUAUAGAAUGAUAGCAUGGCGCUGGACAUUAUCUCAAGCCUUAACAUUGCUUGUCUAAGUUAACACGAGUGCUAAGGGUUAUAACUCUAAUCUGUUAGCUCAAGUUAUCCAGAGAUGGAUAUAAUUGAUAUUUUAUAAGAAACACAAA